rnacentral:rRNA from 1 species
UACGAAGGGGGCUAGCGUUGUUCGGAAUUACUGGGCGUAAAGCGCACGUAGGCGGACAUUUAAGUCAGGGGUGAAAUCCCGGAGCUCAACUCCGGAACUGCCUUUGAUACUGGGGAUCUUGGAGUCCGGGAGAGGUGAGUGGAACUGCGAGUGUAGAGGUGAAAUUCGUAGAUAUUCGCAAGAACACCAGUGGCGAAGGCGGCUCACUGGCCCGGUACUGACGCUGAGGCACGAAAGCGUGGGGAGCGAACGGG